GAUGAAGAACGCAGCGAAAUGCGAUAAGUAAUGUGAAUUGCAGAAUUCCGUGAAUCAUCGAAUCUUUGAACGCACAUUGCGCCCCCUGGCAUUCCGGGGGGCAUGCCUGUCCGAGCGUCAUUUCUGCCCUCCCGCCCGGCUGGGUGUUGGGCGCUGUCCCCCCGGGGACACGCCCCAAAGGCAGUGGCGGCGCCGCGUCGGGUCCUCGAGCGUAUGGGGCUUUGUCACCCGCUCGGGACGGACUCGUCGGCGCUGGUCUUCCUCCAGGCGACCCUUCGGGGCUCGUCUUCCUUCGGUUGACCUCGGAUCAGGUAGGGUUACCCGCUGAACUUAAGCAUAUCAAUAAGCGGAGGA
rnacentral:misc_RNA from 1 species